AGAGAGAGACAUGCGCGCAUAUCAAUAAGCGGAGGAAAAGAAACUAACAAGGAUUCCCCUAGUAACGGCGAGUGAAGCGGAAAGAGCUCAAAUUUGAAAUCUUAAAGGGUUUCCCUUUACGAAUUGUAGUUUAAAGAAGUGUUUUCUGUUGAGGUUUUGGUAAAAGUUCUUUGGAAUAGGACAUCAUAGAGGGUGAGAAUCCCGUAUUUGACCUUUACUUUCAACUUUGUGAUACACUUUCAAAGAGUCGGAUUGUUUGGGAAUGCAGUCCAAAAUGGGUGGUAAAUUUCAUCUAAAGCUAAAUAUUGGCGAGAGACCGAUAGCGAACAAGUACCGUGAGGGAAAGAUGAAAAGAACUUUGAAAAGAGAGUUAAACAGUACGUGAAAUUGUCAAAAGGGAAGCGUUUGACACCAGUGUUGUUUUUCUGAAAAUCAAUUAAAGAACUGUUUAUGCUAAGUUGUUUAGACUUUAUCAGCUAACUGUUUAGUUUUGAGCUUUUCUUUAAUGCACUUUUCAGUUAACAAGUCAACAUCAAUUUCUUUUGCUGUAAGAAAGCUUGAGGAAGGUGGCUUGAGAUUCGUCUUAAGUGUUUAUAGCCUCUUGCCUAUGCAGUCGGAGAGAUUGAGGUCUGCAGCGUAGAUCCUUCGGGGCUAAAUGCAUUUGUGCUAAGUUAUAGCAUUUUAUAGACAACUUGUUGACUAUGAUUUGUCUUGUAGCUUACUCGCUUAUGUUAUUUUACCUACGCUUAGGAUGUUGAGCGCAUGUCUCUCUCU
rnacentral:rRNA from 1 species